GAUGAACGCUGGCGGCGUGCCUAAUACAUGCAAGUCGAGCGAACGGACGAGAAGCUUGCUUCUCUGAUGUUAGCGGCGGACGGGUGAGUAACACGUGGAUAACCUACCUAUAAGACUGGGAUAACUUCGGGAAACCGGAGCUAAUACCGGAUAAUAUUUUGAACCGCAUGGUUCAAAAGUGAAAGACGGUCUUGCUGUCACUUAUAGAUGGAUCCGCGCUGCAUUAGCUAGUUGGUAAGGUAACGGCUUACCAAGGCAACGAUGCAUAGCCGACCUGAGAGGGUGAUCGGCCACACUGGAACUGAGACACGGUCCAGACUCCUACGGGAGGCAGCAGUAGGGAAUCUUACGCAAUGGGCGAAAGCCUGACGGAGCAACGCCGCGUGAGUGAUGAAGGUCUUCGGAUCGUAAAACUCUGUUAGUAGGGAAGAACAUAUGUGUAAGUAACUGUGCACAUCUUGACGGUACCUAAUCAAAAAGCCACGGCUAACUACGUG
rnacentral:rRNA from 1 species